GACGAACGCUGGCGGCGUGCUUAACGCAUGCAAGUCGAGCGGUAAGGCCCUUUCGGGGGUACACGAGCGGCGAACGGGUGAGUAACACGUGGGUGACCUGCCCUCAGCUCUGGGAUAAGCCUGGGAAACCGGGUCUAAUACUGGAUAUGACUCCAUGACGCAUGUUGUGGGGUGGAAAGCCUUGUGCGGCUGAGGAUGGGCCCGCGGCCUAUCAGCUUGUUGGUGGGGUGAUGGCCUACCAAGGCGACGACGGGUAGCCGGCCUGAGAGGGCGACCGGCCACACUGGGACUGAGACACGGCCCAGACUCCUACGGGAGGCAGCAGUGGGGAAUCUUGCGCAAUGGGCGAAAGCCUGACGCAGCGACGCCGCGUGAGGGAUGACGGCCU
rnacentral:rRNA from 1 species